UACAGAGGUCUCAAGCGUUGUUCGGAUUCAUUGGGCGUAAAGGGUGUGUAGGUGGCGCGCUAAGUCGGGGUGUGAAAUUUCGGAGCCUAACUCCGAAACUGCAUUUGAUACUGGCGUGCUUGAGGACUGGAGAGGAGACUGGAAUUCAUGGUGUAGCAGUGAAAUGCGUAGAGAUCAUGAGGAAGACCAGUGGCGAAGGCGGGUCUCUGGACAGUUCCUGACACUGAGACACGAAGGCCAGGGGAGCAAACGGG
rnacentral:rRNA from 1 species